rnacentral:rRNA from 1 species
UAAUGUAUGGGGAUCUGCCCGAUAGAGGGGGAUAACUACUGGAAACGGUGGCUAAUACCGCAUAAUGUCUACGGACCAAAGCAGGGGCUCUUCGGACCUUGCACUAUCGGAUGAACCCAUAUGGGAUUAGCUAGUAGGUGGGGUAAAGGCUCACCUAGGCGACGAUCUCUAGCUGUCUGAGAGGAUGAUCAGCCACACUGGGACUGAGACACGGCCCAG